CAGAGGAGGGAAAACUGAGGAAGUAAAACGAGACAAGAAACACAGGGAGUAAACUACUUCAAAAUAAAACAGGAAACACUGAAAACUGAUAUAUGAAAUAGGGAACAGAAACACUAGGGAAAAUACACCCAAAUCACAGGAAAAAACUCAACAAACAGAAUAUAUCAUGACACUUUCUCUCUAACUCAGAAGUUUGUGUGAAUGCAUUUGGGUCCAUAAACUGAUUUACAUGAACAAACUGUCCUGAGAGUUUACAUGUAUAAUGAGCAUAAGACAGACAAAUUCAAUUUACCAAAUAGCUGUAUAAGUAGCAUGUUUGAAUUGAAUCUUAGACCAAUAACAUGCAUUUGAAGUCAUAUGAAAGUAGGCAUGCAUAAGUAUGUUGUUAAUGGCUUUAUACUACCAAGACACCAAUUGUUAAGGAUUUGGAGUUGAAUUUUUCCCAUUCUUGCUUUAUGGACCACUUGGUCAUAUGAGGUACCACAUGUACAGUCGCUUGACAGUCUGAAGUCUUCUCCAUGGAAACUACUUUAGAUAAGGAUAAUAAACUGACAGAAGUUUUUCUGUAUUCUGCGUUCAUUUCAUGUAUUUCAGCACAAUUUCUGCUUCUAACCCUAAGCCAGUGGUUCAAACCGUAGACAGUAAAGCACAAAUGUAACGAUCUUUGAAAACUGAAAUCUCUGUUCAUAUACUGUGAAAUAUUUAGAUGGCGACACCGACUGCUGUGUGCAACACUGCCUCUUAUUUUGUACAUAAUUAAACUAAUGACUCCAACUUCUGAGUGCGAACAGUGCCAUCUAUCAUAAAUGCACAGGCCACUGCCUUCCUCUGAUUGGUUGUAGGCCUGUUUACAACUAAUCAGAGCACUCACUUCUCUAUGUUGCUGUUGCCAGACCUAGAAUAAAUUCACCAAGGUGAACUGGUCUGAUAAUGGUAAUGUCAGGUGAGGAGAUACCAUUAAUCUCUGCUGAUUUUGUUCCGUGCAAAUGCAAGUUGUGUUUUCUGAACCUUCUGAUUUUUGAAAAACAAACUUGGAUCUGCACCAGAGCACUGGCUGCUUUCAAACUUAAAGGUUCUAUGGUAAACACAGACAAGAGCGGAGCAACAUGUCUGAUACAUAAAAGAACCAUCGAGAAGAAGAUUGGGAUACAUUAAAAAUGACACAGACUCAAGCAAGUGGACCUGGAUUUUGAUUCCACUCAGAUUCUCCCCUUGUGUCUUUUACUUGUUCUUGGACUUGAACACUAGGGAUAAACACUCAACUCUGACUGAAGUUUCUGUGACUGGACUACAAUACUUUAAAUGGAUAUACAAACCUGUGCAUAAAGCUAGUACAGAUAACACUAAAUCAGUGCAAAUUGCUUUUUAUUGAUGGAAACUUUACCAUCAAUAAAAUCAAUUAAAUCACCUCAGAUUAUGAUUAUAAUCCAAGCACCGCAGCAUUACAGCUGGACUGGAUUUAUGCAUUAAGUGCAGUUUUCAUAAUGUUAUUACUAAUAUCAUUUUCUGCUUGUUUUCAAAACAGAUAGAAAGUAAGAUGUAACAGAGACCCAUGAAGACAGACAGACAGACAGGCAGGCAGGCAGACAGACAGACUGCUGUAGCUGUUGGCAUUUCAGCAGUGACCUUUCUGGUGGUCUUAAGGCCUGCAGAGACUAACAAACACACACACUCACUCACACAAAUACACACUCAGAUGGGGGGACAGGGGUCCAAAGGCUUUGUAAAGCUGUCAAACAGACACAGAUUAAGAUCCUACAGCUUCAAAUAAAAUGUCUCUCCCCACUGCACACUGUCUCUCUCUUUACAUUCUCACACAGAGCAGACCCAGUCGUCCUCAUCAUUGGGCAGACUUUAUGUGCUGUUAUUUUAAAAAAAAAGGCUGGACAUACAGUAUAUCCUGGUAAGAAACAUUUUACGUUUGAGCAAAGAUAGAGAAAGAAGAAGUAAGAGGUGAAGGUUUGAACGUCAGUUUGAUUAACAAACCAAAUGAGGGAAGUGGAGGAGUCAGGGUUACAGAUGUGAGUGUAACAGACAGACAAGCUGUAAAACGAUCCUGGAAAGAGAGGAGAGCGAGAGGAGAUCCAGGAUGAAGAUAUCUGCCUAUCACAAGCCGUGAGGAUUUGUGUUUUCCUCUCAGAGCUGCUGAUUCUUCAGCUCUUAAGCCCCAGAGUCACCAGCUGUCACUGUUUCACACUCUGCUAACAGGAAGUGAUGUAAACAUAUGGACCAACAUGUGCCAAUCACAACUGUCAUAUGACAGCUUCAAAUCCGAUAUUGCAGCAUGUUUCCGAUAAGAGUUGGUCUGGGGAAUAAAACAAUGGAAAUUUACAAAAUAAAUGAAGACUGACCCCCCCAAAAAAGGUGUCUUUGAUUUUUGCAUCAUCAACAGACCUGACUGUUAGAAAGGUAUGGAUGACACAAUUUAUGAAAAACCACCAUGACAUUUUCCCUUGUUUUGUCAUAUUAUUGGCAAUAUUGUGGAUGUUACAUUUAGGGUUUUUCGCAAAGCAAGCAUCCAAGUAUUAUUUCCAUUAAUUUUUCAGACUUCACAGGAAAAAUCAGUGCCAACACUAAAAGCAACUUACUUUUCACUACAGCGUUACAUAUUUGGACAAUUAUCCGCUCUGUGUCGGCAAACGUGGUGAGGUUUGCAAUAAGUUUCAGAUCAGGUAGCAAGUUCCAGGAUUUUGCACCUUUAACAGAAAAAGCUGUCUGUGCAAAAGAUGUUUCACAGAGCACCACGUGAAGCUGCUCUGGUGGAUCUGCUGCAGCUUUAUAUAUUAGAGUGGAACACUGAGGAGGAAGAUUAAUCAAACGUUUGAACACAAACGUUGUUUUUUUUAUUUGCACAACCGACCUAUAAAGCUGUAUUUUGUUUUUGUAAAGAUAAAUGUCAAAAGGUCCAAGAAUAUUAAGACUCCAUUAGCUACAAACAAAACUUCCACUGCUCAUGACAGAAGUGAUUAUAAUCAUUUUAUUUGCUCAUCAAGAUGAUCAAAGAAGAAAAACAGAAAAUGUUUGCUCUUGUGUGAAAAGUGUGCAGAUUGUCCCUGUAAAAGUAGAGACUUGAGGGUUUCUUUGUUUUGGCUCUGCUGCAGCAGUCCACUGAGCACCUCAGUUAAAUCAGAGUGAACUCAUGAAUGAGGCUGAUCAGAUUUUCAUGCGAACUCUAUGAUAUGAAACCAAUCAGAGGAGCUCACAUCUCAUCAAAGAGUCAAUUAAUAAUCAAUAGUCAUUAGAGCAGAGAGGAGGGGGCACCAUCACAGGCUGCAGCUCCGACUGGGCCAGAGGAGCGUGAAAUUACUGCUCAAACUGUACUGUACACACGCGCGCACACACACACGCACACACACACACACACCUGUCUGUAGGCAUACUUCCUCCUCCCCAAAACCCCCACUUGAUGUAAAAUUGUGUGGAAAUAUGUUCACAGCUCUUAGUGUUUGUAUUUAGAUUUCUCAAAAUUACAUCACAUCAACCUGUUUCAAUGACAAGAACAGGUGUGAACAGGUCAGCAUGAUGUAUGCUUUUCUAAUGAGGUUUUAGGCUGUGAUGAUUUUUUUAAUUAUAUACAUAGAUAUCUUUAUAUAAAAACAUAUAUAUAUAUGUAAAUCUGGAAGUAUAAGACAUUUUUCCAUAUUUUUUACAUGUUAUAAAUAAAUGCUCUAUCAGUCCUGUUAAAUUUAAGUGCACUGAUUAAAAGUCUUGGUUAAUGCCUUGAUGUUGUGUGGGUGUGUUUUUGUCAGACCAGGUGUAGCUCAGCAGGUAGAAAACAGAGAGUCGUGUGGAACAACCAAGGUCACAUUGAAGGAUCCAGUUUCCACAUUUCAUAAUUCAUCAUCCAGACCUGCAGAUUGAACCUGUUCUUUUCUGAAGAU